AUUAAAAAAUAAACACUCUACCAAACCUAGGUCAGACAAAAAACCCCUAGAAUGUUUCCUCUUCUCAAGUUCCAGUUAUGGCGAUCCAUAGGCAAUACUGGGAAACUCCUUUAUAUACUCUGAAUUAGCAUAUGGUUUUAAGUAGUCAUGAAAUUAACAAGAUUUGCUUGAUCUUAAUCAUUAGUCUGUAUGUUGUUCUCUUACAGGAAAUUGGCGCCUCUGCAACAAUUGACAAUCGGCUUAGCUAUAGCGGCACCGGCACCACGGCGGUAUGACCCAUUAGCACUGUCGCUAAGAAGACCAAGAUUGGAGGUUUGGGCUUUUUUAGCAAAAUUUCGAGGCUUGAAGGUAGGAUUCUCUCAAUCGGGAAGUUAAUCGUUCUGAGAAAGUCGUAGAAAGGCACUUCGACAUCUUGCUGUUGACUUUCUUGGUGUGGAGAUCCAGACUGGAGAGCAUUGUCCUGAGUAAUUGAGAGCAUAUGCAGAAGUUCAGGAACUUCAGAAAAUAAUUGAAGAACGAACAUUUUUCCAUGUCUAGGCAGCACAAAAGGUGCUUAAGUCGAAGUCUCGUAAUCAAGUUGUGGACUUGAGGGUUUAGGGAGGUACUUCAAUCUAAGUUGAAUGAAGCAAACGAACAAAAUCAGGUGCUUACCAAUCGCGUGGAUACGGUACAUGAAGAAAACAAUGCACUUAAGAGCCGCUUGAGUUCAGUUGAAGAUGAACUUAAAUCAUUUAAAGACGUGUUACUACAACGGCUCGAGGCUCCAAGAGAGGACACUUAAUCUAUUUAGAUUUUAUUUUGUUAUUUUAGAUUGAACAUGAGUUAUUUAUUUAUUAGUUUUUUUAGAAUUUAAAGACAAGGGGAUGUGAUUGUUGGGCUUACAUAACUUGAAGUUGUAUUGUCAAUUAUUUUUUGAGUAAUGAAAUUUUCAUUUGUUAUAA